rnacentral:rRNA from 1 species
GUUGAACGCUGGCGGAAUGCUUUACACAUGCAAGUCGAACGGUAGAGGGGGCAACCCCUCGAGAGUGGCGAACGGGUGAGUAAUAUAUCGGAACGUGCCCAGUCGUGGGGGAUAACGUAGCGAAAGUUACGCUAAUACCGCAUACGAUCUAAGGAUGAAAGCGGGGGAUCGCAAGACCUCGCGCGAUUGGAGCGGCCGAUAUCAGAUUAGGUAGUUGGUGGGGUAAAGGCUCACCAAGCCAACGAUCUGUAGCUGGUCUGAGAGGACGACCAGCCACACUGGAACUGAGACACGGUCCAGACGCCCACGGGAGGCAGCAGUGGGGAAUUUUGGACAAUGGACGCAAGUCUGAUCCAGCCAUUCCGCGUGCAGGAUGAAGGCCCUCGGGUUGUAAACUGCUUUUGUACGGAACGAAAAGGUCUCUCUUAAUACGGGGGACUCAUGACGGUACCGUAAGAAUAAGCACCGGCUAACUACGUGCCAGCCGCCGCCGUAACAC